CGUUGAUUACGUCCCUGCCCUUUGUACACACCGCCCGUCGCUACUACCGAUUGAAUGGCUAAGUGAGGCGUUUGGACCGGCCCAGAGAGGAUGGCAACACCCACUCAGGGCUGGAAAAUCCUACAAACUUGGUCAUUUAGAGGAAGUAAAAGUCGUAACAAGG
rnacentral:rRNA from 1 species